CUGUGAAAUAAGCCUAGCCAAUAUUCUCAAGUCAGUCAUCUCCAAAUGUUUCUUUUGAGAUUUUGAGGUGAUACAUAUCUUCCUCUUGCCUACAUCAUCUUGGCAGAAAUGUCUACAUCCAUAGAGUGUAAUUUCAAAUAGCCACCUGAAAUUCAAAAUCUAUACAUUAUAUUUACCAUAAAAAUACUUCCCUUGUAAGGUUGCAGACAUCCUAUUUCCAGAAUGGUAGCGAGGAGGAAGAAACCAAGACUGCAAAAUUUCUGCCUCACUCUUGUAUUAUUUUUAAUGAGGACGUGGGUGAGCAUUCUUUUGCAGUAGCUGCUCCAGAUAGUUACCAUAUAGAAGAAGAACAAGUGAUUGAGUUCAGCGCUGCUGCUUCAGAUGUUUGCCAGCUAGAACAUGACCAGCCACUUGAGUUCAGUGUUGCUUCAGAUGUUUGCCAGCUAGAACAUGACCAGCCACUUGAGUUCAGUGUUGCUCCAGAUGUUUGCCAGCCAGAAGAUAACCAGCCAAUUGAGUUCAAUGAUGCUCCAGAUGUUUACCAAAUAGAAGAAGAGCAAGUGACUGAGGUCAAAGACCCAUUGAUAAAGGUGGAAGAAGUGCAAGUAGAACCUGAAUUGGAGCCUGCUGGAACAGAUACUGAAGGUACCAUAUAUAACACAUAAUGGCAGUCAGUUUCUAGCAACCAAAAAAGGACAGUGAGAUACCUCAUCAGAGGAAAACUCGCCUUUUAGAAUUCUUAUUCAAUGUGAUUCUUGUGUGUGAUGGGCCUGCUUUCUGAAAUUUCUCUUACCUCAUUUAAAGCAUCUUAUGGGAGAAACAGUGGCAGAGUUGCCAUCAGUAAUACCCAGAUAUGGAAGGUGAGAGUUAGGCAGCAGUUAAUUUUCUUAAUUAAAAUAAUCUCUCUCAUGAUGUAGGAAGUUGUUCUUCAGCUGAGGGAGAAAUGGAGAAGGGGAAAAGUUUUUUUUUUUCUCUGUUCCCUCAUUCGAUUUGGGGAAUAACUUGUUUUGUAAAAUGUAUUUUAAUUUAAACUUUUAGGAAUGACUGAAUAAAAAUUAGAAGUGGAAUUUAAUGGGAACUUAA
rnacentral:lncRNA from 1 species